UACGUAGGGUCCGAGCGUUGUCCGGAAUUACUGGGCGUAAAGAGCUCGUAGGCGGUCUGUCGCGUCGGCUGUGAAAACCCGGGGCUCAACCCCGGGCCUGCAGUCGAUACGGGCAGACUAGAGUGCAGUAGGGGCAGAGGGAAUUUCCGGUGGAGCGGUGAAAUGCGUAGAGAUCGGAAAGAACACCAACGGCGAAAGCAACUCGUCGCUGGGCCGACACUGACACUGAGAGACGAAAGCUAGGGGAGCGAAUGGG
rnacentral:rRNA from 1 species